UACGUAGGGUGCGAGCGUUGUCCGGAAUUAUUGGGCGUAAAGGGCUCGUAGGCGGUCUGUCACGUCGGGAGUGAAAACUCGGGGCUUAACUCCGAGCCUGCUUCUGAUACGGGCAGACUAGAGGUAUGCAGGGGAGAAUGGAAUUCCUGGUGUAGCGGUGAAAUGCGCAGAUAUCAGGAGGAACACCGGUGGCGAAGGCGGCAUCCUGGACCGGUACUGACGCUGAGGUGCGAAAGCGUGGGGAGCAAACAGG
rnacentral:rRNA from 1 species